rnacentral:rRNA from 1 species
UAGGGAAUCUUCGGCAAUGGGGGGAACCCUGACCGAGCAACGCCGCGUGAGUGAAGAAGGUUUUCGGAUCGUAAAGCUCUGUUGUAAGUCAAGAACGGGUGUGAGAGUGGAAAGUUCACACUGUGACGGUAGCUUACCAGAAAGGGGCGGCUAACUACGUGCCAGCAGCCGCGGUAAUACGUAGGUCCCGAGCGUUGUCCGGAUUUAUUGGGCGUAAAGCGAGCGCAGGCGGUUUGAUAAGUCUGAAGUUAAAGGCUGUGGCUCAACCAUAGUUCGCUUUGGAAACUGUCAAACUUGAGUGCAGAAGGGGAGAGUGGAAUUCCAUGUGUAGCGGUGAAAUGCGUAGAUAUAUGGAGGAACACCGGUGGCGAAAGCGGCUCUCUGGUCUGUAACUGACGCUGAGGCUCGAAAGCGUGGGGAGCGAACAGGAUUAGAUACCCUGGUAGUCCACGCCGUAAACGAUGAGUGCUAGGUGUUGGAUCCUUUCCGGGAUUCAGUGCCGAAGCUAACGCAUUAAGCACUCCGCCUGGGGAGUACGACCGCAAGGUUGAAAC